rnacentral:tRNA from 1 species
AAGAAAGUCAUAGUGGUUAUGGGGCUGGCUUGAAACUAGUCUUAGAGAGUUCGAUUCUUUCCUUUCUUG